CCUACGGGUGGCAGCAGUGAGGAAUAUUGGUCAAUGGACGAGAGUCUGAACCAGCCAAGUAGCGUGAAGGAUGACUGCCCUAUGGGUUGUAAACUUCUUUUAUAUGGGAAUAAAAUGUUCCAAGUGUGGGAUUUUGUAUGUACAAUAUGAAUAAGGAUCGGCUAACUCCGUGCCAGCAGCCGCGGUAAUACGGAGGAUCCGAGCGUUAUCCGGAUUUAUUGGGUUUAAAGGGAGCGUAGGUGGAUUGUUAAGUCAGUUGUGAAAGUUUGCGGCUCAACCGUAAAAUUGCAGUUGAAACUGGCAGUCUUGAGUACAGUAGAGGUGGGCGGAAUGCGUGGUGUAGCGGUGAAAUGCUUAGAUAUCACGAAGAACUCCGAUUGCGAAGGCAGUUCACUGGACUGCAACUGACACUGAGGCUCGAAAGUGUGGGUAUCAAACAGGAUUAGAUACCCGGGUAGUC
rnacentral:rRNA from 1 species